rnacentral:rRNA from 1 species
UACAGGAAUGUUAAGGGUGUAUGGUGGAUGCCUAGGCUUCAAAGAGCGAUGAAGGACGUGGUAUGGCUGCGUUAAGCUCCGGUAAGAUGCCAAACAAUCGUUAUAACCGGAGAUGUCCGAAUGAGGAAACUCACCUGCUUACGGCAGGUACCCUUGUAUGAGGGAGCGUACCCAGUGAAGUGAAACAUCACAGUAGCUGGAGGAAAAGAAAGCAAAAAACGGGACUUUCUUUCUGGUUGGAAAAUCGAGUGGAUUUAUUCACGCGAUUUACCAUUACGACCAGGAAGAAGGUCCUCGCGAUCCCCUGAGUAGCGGCGAGCGAAACGGGAUGAGCCCAAACCAUUCGUGUUUACAUGAAUGGGGUUGUAGGGCAGAGACGUCAUUUAGUUGAGAAGAGUUACAAAUUGGUGUGAUAACAAAACGCGUUGGGAAGCGCGACCCCAGUAGGUAAUAGUCCUGUAUGUGAAAUUGCAUCAACUCUUUUGUUUCUGUUCCUGAGUAGUUCGGGACACGAAUAGCCCGAAUGAAUCUGCCAGAACUAACUGGUAAGGCUAAAUAUCUUUGAAGACCGAUAGUGAACAAGUACCGUGAGGGAAAGGUGAAAAGAACCCCGGAGAGGGGAGUGAAAUAGAACUGAAACCAUACAUCUACAAGGAGUCGAAGCCCUGCGGGGCGACGGCGUGCCUAUUGAAGAAUGAGCCGGCGAGUGUAUCUGUAUUCUUUGUCUAAGCGGUAACCCCGUGGAGGCCUAGUGAAAGCGAGCGUGAAUAGCGCGAAUAUAGAGUACGGAUACGACCCGAAGCGGGAUGAGCUUGCCAUGUGCAGGGUGAAGCGAAGGUAAAACUUCGUGGAGGCCCGAACCGGUUGGCCGUUCAAAACCAUCGGAUGACAUGUGGUAGGGAGUGAAAAGCUAAUCGAAUUCCGUAAUAGCUGGUUCUCUCCGAAACAGCUUUAGGGUUGGCGUCGCGUGUUCCUCCUGGGGGUAGAGCACUGGAAGGUUUAAAUAGGGAGAAAUCUCGUUAAACCUAUCAAACUACGAAUACCAGGCAGUUAGAGCGCGGCAGUUAGACUACGGGGGAGAAGCUCCGUUGGUCGAAAGGGAAACAGCCCAGACCGCCAGUUAAGGUCCCUAAAUAUAUACUCAGUGCGUCUUGAGGAGGUGAGGAUUCAUCAACAGUCAGGAUGUUGGCUUAGAAGCAGCCAUCAUUUAAAGAAAGCGUAACAGCUCACUGAUCGAGAGUCCUUGCGCCGAAGAUGAUCGGGGCUCAAGUAUAUUACCGAAACUGCGGAUGUCACAUUUCUUCGGAUAUGUGGCGUGGUAGGAGAGCGUUCUGUUCUGCGAUGAAGCCAAGGUGUGAACCACGGUGGAGCGUACAGAAGUGAGAAUGCCGGCACAAGUAACCGCAAGACGGGUGAGAACCCCGUCCGCCGAAAUACCGAGGUUUCCUUCGCUAUGAUGAUCAGCGAAGGGUUAGUCGGUCCUAAGCCGAUCCCGACAGGGGGAGGCGAUGGAUAGCAGGUUAAUAUUCCUGCACACUGUUACGUUGCGAUGGAGGGACGGAGCGUUGUACCCAAAGCAUCUUAUUGGAUUGGUGCUGGAACUACGAGGACGUCUGGUAGGCAAAUCCGCCAGAUAUAAUCCGAGUAGGGUCUGAACGUGAGGCUACGGCCGAGCGAAUGAGGGGAGCACGCUUUCUAGAAAAACUUCUAAGCAUAAACGUAACGGUUCCGUACCGCAAACCGACACAGGUGGUAGGGUCGAGAAGACCAAGGCGAACGAGUGAGGGGUCCUUAAGGAACUCGGCAAAAAAGCGGCCGUAACUUCGGGAUAAGGCCUGCCCUGCGUAGCAAUACGUUGGGGCCGCAGCGAAAGAUUUCCUGGCAACUGUUUAACAAAAACACAGCUCUCUGCGAAGACGUAAGUCCAUGUAUAGAGGGUGACGCCUGACCAAUGCCGGAAGGUUAAAUAUGGGGGGUCUUAUGGAGUAAUCUGUAAGGCUGGACUAUAUAAGCCCCGGUCAAUGUCAGCGAUAACUAUAAUCGUUCUAAGGUUCGGCGCAUUUUCCUCCGGGAAAAUGCGCCGAUAGGACUGGAACGAUUAUAGGUGUAAACAGAACAAGCCACAGCUACCUUACGUGCAGUAAUGUACGUAUAGUCCACAAUGCAACCAACAAGAGACCAAAUGUUGCACACCCGACCUCGUAAGAGAGGGUGAAGAUAGAGUCCUUCUGCAAAAGAAUUGGAAUAGAAGAGCGCAAUUCCUUGUCGGGUAAGUUCCGACGUGCACGAAAGGCGUAAUGACUGGGAAACUGUCUCAAGGACCUGCUCGGUGAAAAUACAAUGGGGGUGAAGAUGCCCCCUACCUGCAGUUAGACGAAAAGACCCCAGGAGCUUUACUGUAGCUUCGUAUUGGGGCUGUUGAAUUAAUGCGUAGUAUAGGUGUGAGACUUUGAAGUGGGCUUUCGGGUACCAUGGAGUCGCCAGUGAAAUAGCACCCUUUAUUUUGGCAGUUUCUAACCAGCACGGAAAAACCGUGUUGAGACAGUGCGUGGCAGGCAGUUUUAGUGGGGCGCUACCCUCCCAAAGAGUAACGGAGGGGUCUCAAGGUUGGCUAGGUGCGAAUGGAAACCGUACCGAUAGUGUAAUGGCAUAAGCCAGCUUGACUGUGAGGCGUCAGUGCCAAACAGAUGCGAAAGCAGAGCAUAGUGAACCGACGGUCCGCUUUAGAUGCGGCCGGAGAUUAUCUGACAAAAGUUACCCUGGGGAUAACAGGCUAGUCGUGCCCAAGCGUCCAUAGCGACGGCACGGUUCGGCACCUCGAUGUCGGCUCAACUUAUCCUGGGGCUGGAGCAGGUCCCAAGGGUAUGGCUGUUCGCCAUUUAAAAAGUUACGUGAGCUGGGUUUAGACCGUUCAGAUUCUAAAUAUUUUGGAAUCUGAACCAAUCUAAACCCGAGGAGAAUACUUGACCAGUAUUCAAAAAGACAUCAUUCACGGCGGUGGUAGAAAGUAAUUUCUACACAUAAAAUUGACUAUAUCGGUGGAGUCCUAAACCAACAUAUGUUAGGAUAAUACCGAGGGAAGUCUUGUAUGACACAAAAAAUUAAUUCAUCGUUCAGUAUCUAUCUUGCCGGUUUUUUGGAUGGAGAUGGAAGUAUAUAUGUACGAGCAAAACCAAAUAGUUCAUAUAAAUAUGGCUAUCAAAUUGCUCCAACUGUUGCUUUCUUUCAGUCUAAGAAAAGUGGUGAGUUUCCAAAACUGUGCAAACGAAUCCCGUACGGGACGUUGAGAGUUAGGAAGGAUGGUAUAUAUGAAUAUACUAUUUCAAAACAAAAAGAAAUUAGAGAUUUUCUUUUCCAAGUGUUGCCCUAUCUUGUGUUAAAACAGGAACAAGCAAAACUUAUGAUUAGAAUUCUUGAUGUUAAAGAUACUAUACAGACUAUAGAUGAUUUCAAUGUUUUGCUUGCACUCAUUGAUUCUUUUCGGGAAUUAAAUUACUCGAAGAAUCGCAAAGUGCGUACAAAGACCCCGUAGAGACUAAACGUCAAUCUCCUUGAAAUGAAGCAAGGAAGAAGAUAUAGUCCGAUCCUCCGAGUAAUCGGAGCAACAAGAUGCGUGAGACAGGUUGGUCUCUAUCUACUGCAGGCGUCGAUUCUUGAAGAGAUUUGUCCCUAGUAAGUAUUUGCUACUUUGUGAAGAGAUUCACAUUGAAAAUAUGGCUUAUAACGGUGAAGCCUUCAUAUGUUUUUGGUUCGAGAAUUAUAUUCAUGCACGGUCCAGUCAUGAUAUAAUUCGCUUGAGGACCAGAAACCUCUUUAAGGUAAUACCGUGGGAAGUCGCCGUAUCACAUUAGUUUUAAUGUGCCAGGUUGACCCCGUAACGACUUGCGCUGAAAGACGCGCGGACGCAUACGUAGAGGAAUCAUUCCAUUGAGAAUGACUGCUCGUAUGUGUAAGAUGCCAUCGCCCUCAUUUAGACAUUCUGUCUAAAACGGGUGAAGAUAUAGUCUGUGCUCCUAGAAAUAGGGGAAGCGUUUAAUUGGAAAUUUAACCAGUUAAAUUCACGACGAGAGGACCGGGAUGAACUGACCUCUGGUCUACCUGCUGUCACGCCAGUGGCACCGCAGGGUAGCUAUGUUGGGAAUGGAUAACUGCUGAAAGCAUCUAAGCAGGAAGCCAACUCUAAGAUGAGGAAUCAUUAAGUCCCCUGAGAGAUGAUCAGGUUGAUAGGCACUAGGUGGAAGUACAGCAAUGUAUUGAGCCAAGGUGUACUAAUCAGACGUAAUUCCUGUAGG